ACACGCACGCUUCGCCCCCAGGAAUGACCUCAUCGCUCCGGCAGCUCCACUCACAGACCCCACCUACCACAGGGAACGGGGGCGGGUGCCAGGGUCCGCGCAAGCGCACAAGAGUGGCCUCUGGCCGGAGGCGAGGGCGGGAAGGUGCGGGAAGUGCGCGUGCGCGGAGCCGGGGUCAGCCUGGGCCCGGGGCCGCUUGCAGCCGGUGGAGUCCUUGUGGAGCCGGCAAUCCAGGCUCCCCUCCCAGACCCCGCGCAGAAUUAGCCUCUCUCUGCCGCCGGGAAAUCGGCAAUUAGAACGCUCCUUGCGCGCGGCACCCAGGCAGCCCUCGAGAAUGCCUGCGCUGUGGCCUGCCCAUCCUCGCCCUUCCCAUACGCCCUCGGCCCCGCGCUCACCACGUUCGUGUCCCGCUCCACCGCGGGUUCCCAGCCCAGGUCCCGGGGCCCGCAACAGUCCAGGCAGACGAGCGCGCGGCAGCGGUAGUGGCAGGUGAACUUGCAAUCUGCAGAGAGGCCUGGCCGUGAGGCGGAGGCGCCCCAGGUCGGGAAAUGUCCCGGAGAUUGAAGGGAAGCCCCAGGGAGAGGGCAGCUGCCCGCCAGGCUCCGCAGGCCCGACCUAUCUCAGUGGGUUACCUCACACUGCUAUGCGGACUCUAAUGUUGGCCACCCUGGGCGUCUAGAAAGCGGCCGGAAGGCCACAGGCAGAGGCCUGCUCAACAGUUGGAUCUCCAUCGCCUAGCGCAGAACUUCCCCUUUCCUCCUUGGCAAUUAAAAAAACAACAACAAAAAA
rnacentral:antisense_RNA from 1 species